rnacentral:rRNA from 1 species
UACGUAGGGUCCAAGCGUUAAUCGGAAUUACUGGGCGUAAAGCGUGCGCAGGCGGUUGGCAAAGUCAGCUGUGAAAGCCCCGGGCUUAACCUGGGAAUGGCGGUUGAAACUAGUCGACUAGAAUCUGGCAGAGGGGGGUGGAAUUCCAUGUGUAGCAGUGAAAUGCGUAGAGAUGUGGAGGAACACCGAUGGCGAAGGCAGCCCCCUGGGCUGAGAUUGACGCUCAGGCACGAAAGCGUGGGGAGCAAACGGG